rnacentral:lncRNA from 1 species
GGAGCCUCCUUCAACAUGACGACGGGGAUGGGGUUGGGGACGAAGAUGAAGAUAGAGGUGAAGAUAGAGAUGGAAAUGAGAAUCAAUAUUUGUCUUCCAACAGUGUUCAGGCAACCAGAUCAGUGACUUCUCCCAGCCACUCUGACUCUUCUGAGGUGUAAUGUCUACAAAUAGAGAGUCAGAAGUCCUGCUCACAGGAGUUUGCUUGUAUCCUGAAGCAUCGGUCCAGAGGUGCAUGGCCAAAGCCUCUGGACGUAAGAGAGGAAAUAUCUUAAUAACCACCCCAAAUGGACUCAAAGCUGGAGCCAACUCAGCAGAAAAUAAUAGCAAGGAACUACUUGAGUUCUUCCUGAAUGCAGAAAAAUAGCAGGCCUAUUAAAGUUGCAUGGGAAAACAGCCGAGUGCUUACCAGGGAACGACAUUCCAAAGACUGAGCUUGAGCCUGCAGACUCAUCAAAUAAAUGUUUACAGACAAAAUGUAAAGUCUUUUCU